GAUGAACGCUGGCGGCGUGCCUAAUACAUGCAAGUCGAGCGAACAGACGAGGAGCUUGCUCCUCUGACGUUAGCGGCGGACGGGUGAGUAACACGUGGAUAACCUACCUAUAAGACUGGGAUAACUUCGGGAAACCGGAGCUAAUACCGGAUAAUAUAUUGAACCGCAUGGUUCAAUAGUGAAAGACGGUUUUGCUGUCACUUAUAGAUGGAUCCGCGCCGCAUUAGCUAGUUGGUAAGGUAACGGCUUACCAAGGCAACGAUGCGUAGCCGACCUGAGAGGGUGAUCGGCCACACUGGAACUGAGACACGGUCCAGACUCCUACGGGAGGCAGCAGUAGGGAAUCUUCCGCAAUGGGCGAAAGCCUGACGGAGCAACGCCGCGUGAGUGAUGAAGGUCUUCGGAUCGUAAAACUCUGUUAUUAGGGAAGAACAAGUGUGUAAGUAACUAUGCACGUCUUGACGGUACCUAAUCAGAAAGGCACGGCUAACUACGUG
rnacentral:rRNA from 1 species